UACGGGGGGAGCAAGCGUUGUUCGGAUUUACUGGGCGUAAAGGGCGCGUAGGCGGCCACUGCAAGUCAGUUGUGAAAUCUCCGGGCUUAGCCCGGAAAGGUCAGCUGAUACUGCAGGGCUAGAGUGCAGAAGGGGCAACUGGAAUUCUCGGUGUAGCGGUGAAAUGCGUAGAUAUCGAGAGGAACACCUGCGGCGAAGGCGGGUUGCUGGGCUGACACUGACGCUGACAGCGCGAAAGCUAGGGGAGCGAACGGG
rnacentral:rRNA from 1 species